AUGCAAGUCGAGGGGCAGCAUGGUCUUAGCUUGCUAAGGCCGAUGGCGACCGGCGCACGGGUGAGUAACACGUAUCCAACCUGCCGUCUACUCUUGGACAGCCUUCUGAAAGGAAGAUUAAUACAAGAUGGCAUCAUGAGUCCGCAUGUUCACAUGAUUAAAGGUAUUCCGGUAGACGAUGGGGAUGCGUUCCAUUAGAUAGUAGGCGGGGUAACGGCCCACCUAGUCUUCGAUGGAUAGGGGUUCUGAGAGGAAGGUCCCCCACAUUGGAACUGAGACACGGUCCAAACUCCUACGGGAGGCAGCAGUGAGGAAUAUUGGUCAAUGGGCGAGAGCCUGAACCAGCCAAGUAGCGUGAAGGAUGACUGCCCUAUGGGUUGUAAACUUCUUUUAUAAAGGAAUAAAGUCGGGUAUGCAUACCCGUUUGCAUGUACUUUAUGAAUAAGGAUCGGCUAACUCCGUGCCAGCAGCCGCGGUAAUACGGAGGAUCCGAGCGUUAUCCGGAUUUAUUGGGUUUAAAGGGAGCGUAGAUGGAUGUUUAAGUCAGUUGUGAAAGUUUGCGGCUCAACCGUAAAAUUGCAGUUGAUACUGGAUAUCUUGAGUGCAGUUGAGGCAGGCGGAAUUCGUGGUGUAGCGGUGAAAUGCUUAGAUAUCACGAAGAACUCCGAUUGCGAAGGCAGCCUGCUAAGCUGCAACUGACAUUGAGGC
rnacentral:rRNA from 1 species